rnacentral:rRNA from 1 species
GAUGAACGCUAGCUACAGGCUUAACACAUGCAAGUCGAGGGGAAACGAUAUUGGAAGCUUGCUUCCGAUAGGCGUCGACCGGCGCACGGGUGAGUAACGCGUAUCCAACCUGCCCACCACUUGGGGAUAACCUUGCGAAAGUAAGACUAAUACCCAAUGAUAUCUCUAGAAGACAUCUGAAGGAGAUUAAAGAUUCAUCGGUGAUGGAUGGGGAUGCGUCUGAUUAGCUUGUUGGCGGGGGAACGGCCCACCAAGGAGACGAUCAGUAGGGGUUAUGAAAGGAAGGUCCCCCACAUUGGAACUGAGACACGGUCCAAACUCCUACGGGAGGCAGCAGUGAGGAAUAUUGGUCAAUGGGCGAGAGCCUGAACCAGCCAAGUAGCGUGCAGGAUGACGGCCCUAUGGGUUGUAAACUGCUUUUAUAAGGCAAUAAAGUGAGCCUCGUGAGGCUUUUUGCAUGUACCUUAUGAAUAAGGACCGGCUAAUUCCGUGCCAGCCGCCGCAGUAA